ACACCCACCCUCAUUAAUCUCAAGAUCAACUCUCCUAAAUACUUCAAGAUUUUCCAUGUUAUGAUUGAAACAAAACAAAAUUUCAAGCUUUAUUAGUUGACUUCCACUUCCACCAACGACCAAAUUUGAUACAAAUCUCAGCUUUCCAACCCUUUUUUUAACUCCAAACUUAGCAUCCUUUCACUUAAAAUCCCAAACCUCCCUCAUCAAAUUUAAACCGCCAUUAUUAUCCAUUUUUCUUCUUCUUUCUCCCCACUUCUGUCUUCUGCAACUCCAAAACUUCCCCAGAAACUCAAAUUUCAUCCCACACACAAAAAAAAAAUGAACCAAAACAACAACAACAACAACAACAAUCAUCACCACAAUAACAAUAACCCAUCAAAAAUCUCCUCAUUCCAAGAAAAAAACAACCUCUUCAAUUUAAUCAAAUUCACUCUUCUUUUCUCUCUCCUCUUUUUCCUCUCCAUCUUCAUCUUAACUGCUCUCUCCUCCUCAAACCCUCCUUCCUCAACUCACCUCUUCUCUUCUCUCUCCUCCUUCAUCCCUUCCUCCUCCUGCAACAACAACAACAACAGCCUCUCAGACCCGAACCCAGGCCCGACCCAACUAACCCACAUCGUAUUCGGGCUCGGCGGGUCAUCCAAGACAUGGGAAGCCCGUCGGGCCUACUCCCAGCUAUGGUGGGACCCGAACCUAACCCGAGGCUACGUCUACCUAGACGACGACCCACCCGGAAACGGGCCCAAACCCGCCUUCCCACCUUACCGGGUCUCGAGCCGGGCCUGGUUCGGUCUCGGGUCGGGCCGGAAACACUCGGACUCGAACCGGAUGGCCCGGAUUUUGAAGGAGAGCUUUGAGUUGGGGUUGAGUAAUGUGAGGUGGUUUGUGAUGGGUGAUGAUGACACUGUGUUUUUUCCGGAGAAUUUAGUUAGGGUUUUGUCGAAGUAUGAUCAUCGUGAGAUGUAUUACAUCGGAGGAUCGAGUGAAAGUGUGGAGCAAGAUGUGAUGCACGGGUAUGAAACUGGGUUUGGUGGUGGUGGAUUUGCAGUAAGUUAUGGAUUAGCUUGUGAAAUGGUUAGGAUUUUAGAUGGGUGUAUUAAAAGAUAUCAUGAUUUUUAUGGGUCUGAUGAGAAAGUUUCUGCUUGUGUUGCUGAACUUGGUGUUCCACUUACUAAAGAACCUGGUUUCCAUCAGCUUGACAUUAGAGGAGACCCCUAUGGUUUCCUAGCUGCACAUCCUGUGGCUCCCUUGGUGUCCCUCCACCAUCUUGUUGGUGCGCAGCCAUUGUUUCCAGGUGAAAAUCAGUUGGACUCCUUGAGAAGACUGUUGCGUGCAUACCACGUUGACCCGGGCCUCACCAUCCAGCAAAGUAUCUGCUACGAUCACAGCCGUAAAUGGUCGGUAUCCUUAUCUUGGGGCUACACCGUGCAGUUAUAUCCGUCCCUCAUCUCAUCCAAAGUCCUCGGUAUGCCUUUGCAGACAUUUCGCACCUGGCGUAGCGGUAGUGAGGGGCCUUUUGUGUUCAAUACCCGUCCUAUGAGGGAUGAUCCUUGCGAGAGGCCCAUCAUCUAUUACCUGGACCAAGUUAAGGAGACUGGUGAUGGUAAAACUAUAAGUACUUACAUGAGGGCUGCUGCCGCCGAUGGUAAAGAAUGUAUGCAAGAAGCUUACAAGGAUGCAGUUUUAGUGGAGAAUAUUACUGUAUCUGCUACCAAAACGGACCCUCAGAAGUGGAUGAAGGCAUCGCGAAGGGAGUGCUGCAACAUUAGAGAAAGCCAGACUCGGAACGGUAACAUGCGAAUACAGAUUAGAAGCUGUAAACCGAGGGAGACCAUUACUAUGUAAAGGAUAUAUCCUCUUUGAUUAAAGACGUGAAAACUACUCCGAAUGGAGAUGAUAUCCCCAGAGAUGAACUAUUUGAUGUAUUUUGCUCUCAGCCUCUCACCACCAGACCGCACUUUUUUUUUAUAUAUAUAAAGGAUAGAAACAAUUAGGCUAGCUCCCAAGAAAAGGGUCACCCUAAAGUAUCCUUACGGAUGAUUACAAUCACCAGACCGCACUACGUCUUGAACAUAUCUUUAACUCUGACAGUAAUAAAUUGAAGAGAAAGCAUGAGAAGAAAAUGAUUUAUCUUGUCAUAGGGUUUACCUGACGUUGGAGGUCAUUGCUCGACAUUCAGGGCAUAGUUUUCCUUAAAGAGAAUUUAGAGCUACUUCAUGUAAAGUUAGUAAGAUAUAUUCUUCGAGAAUGCUACAUCGACUUGGUGGGUAACUUAUUCAUUAGAGAUAGAAGGUUAGUCUUUUUUUCGGUUAUCCAUUUGGAUAAGAGUUUUGUUUUCCACGUUUUUGUCACAUACUACCUCUGUUUUUUUUAGUUGCAACGAUUAGACAUAAAGUGUGAGUAGAAAAUGUCUUAUUGUUGCAACUAAAAAAACAAAGGUAGUACAAUGUCGUUUGUGAAAUUAUGUAGAAUUAAGGUGUAUCUUUUUGUUUCGUCUUCAUUAAUAUCACCAUGUAAUAAAGUAGUUCACAAUAUGUUAAUAAAGUGUUGGCUGGAGGAAGAUAUACGCUAGAAAAAAAAAAGAUUUCGUUGUUUUUAUUUGUUCAUUUUUGUGCAUGAAAGUUAAUUUCCCUGAGAAUAGAAAAGGAGUUAUUUUCCUUUUCUUUUCCCCGUCUUCCCUUUUCAUUUUUUUCUCCCUAAUGUGUAAGCAGCCCAUCGAAAUGAGGGAACUAAUUUCUGAUUACUAUGAUUUUCUUGUAUAAUUGUUUUAUCCAAUUCAUACGAAUUAUUCCUAAUUAUUUCGUUGAGUACUUACAGUAUAGAAGUAGUAUGUAUUGAUUUGUUCAAUUUGCAUACAUAAACUUGGGAUGAACCUGAAGAACUUUGGGACAGUAACAACAUACAUGUUUCCAAGUUUAUUUGGAAAUUAUUGUCCAAUUCAUUUUCACAUCUGAUUAAUGUGAUAUUUGUUUCAAGAAAGAAAAUCUAUCCUUUCAUUGCUUUAUCUAUUGGCUAUGUAUGGGGAGGGGUGAGUUCACUCAUGGUACACUCAUGUGUACCAUAAACAUGAUACAUCCAGGGGUAUUUUUAUAAUAAAUUAGAACUUCAGGUGCUCAUUUGAUACCAAAUUUGCUCAUAUGGACAUUUUGUUCAUUUACUCAUUUGCUCAUUUUGUAAUAAAAGUGUUUGCUCCUUUUCUUAAAUGAGUGGAAAUGUUUGCUCAUUUGUUCAUUUUGCUCAUUUGGAGAAAAUAAUCUUAGGUGUACCAUGAGCAUGGUACACCCAAGUGUAGUAUACAUAUUCUCAAGUAUUUUAGUUACCUUAAAUAAUAAAAUGUUAAUAAAUUUCAGAUGCUAGAAUGAUUAGUAGUAUUUGAGUAGUACCUAAAAUAAAAUUUUGACCUUUUGAAAAUCAGGUAAUUGAAAUUUUGAAAAAUCUUUUUAAAAUUUUGAUGGCAACUAAUUUUGUCAAAAAAUUAUCAACUAAUUUUGUCAAAAAAUUUAUCAACUAAUUUUGCCAAAUUAGUAAAGCUAAUUAGAUAUUUUAUUAGUUUAAUAACCUUAUCAGUUUCAACUUUAUCUUAUCAAUUUCAGUUAACGUAUUAUUAUCAGUUAGUAUUGCCAAAAAGAACUAUUAUAGAAGGUGAGAGGAGAAAGAGAAAAGGAUAUAAGAUAUUUCAAAAACUAUUAAAAAACAACUAAAUUUUAAUAUAAAAAUAGACCUAAUCACUAAAUAGAUUAAAUUAGUCACCGAAAGAAAUUAACCUAAUUACCAUCAUGCUAAUUCUAUUUUUAAUAUUGCAUUUAUCAUUAUCUAAUUUUAAUUUAAAAGUAGACGGUUUCUUACAAGACAAAUUCAAGAUAUUUUACGAAUGGAGAUAUUAUGUGAGAAUUACAGGGGUUGCGUUAGCAACAUUUAUUAUUGAUAACUAUAUGCAUGUCGGUAAAGCCAGUGAGAGGUAAGAAGAGAACCAUAAGAAUACAACGUCAUAUUUUUAUUUCUUUUUGAGGGGAUGAAAUUCCGUAGAGAACAUGCAAACCACAAAAACAACAGGAAAAAAAACAAAUGAGUCAAAUUUGUGGACUAGAGAAAGACAUGGCCAAUAUAUUAUUUGUCGAGUAGCAAAACACAUGAAAAGUACAUAGUUUAUUUCCAAACAUUAUAAAUAGCACAAGUGAGUUUGUUCAUUAACAUCAACAAUUGAAUUUAAGAGCAUUUUCUUUGUCAUUAAUCUCCUGCAUAUAUAAAAUUCUUCUACUUUUACACUAUAUUCAUUAAUAUUCAAAGAUGGAUAACUCCAAGAGUGCAAGUGACAAAGUUGGUGACGCCAAGGAUCAAGCCCAGAACACAGCCGGCACGGUGACAGACAAGGCCGGAAGCAUGUUUCAAUCUGCUAAGGAAUCAGUAAUCGGGGCUGGUGAACAGGUGAAGACUAAGGCAGGUGAAGCUACUGAAGCUGUCAAGAAGGCCACUGGCAUGAACAAAUGAACCUAGCUACACCAACUCGCUUUCGAAAAAAUUGCAUAAGUUGUUUUAGUCUGUUCUUAUUUCCAAUCUUUAAUGUCUAAAUCGUGUAAAAGCUGUAAAAAUUUGCAGUUUCUGUAGCUUGUUUCCCUUUCUAAUCAAUGAAAUCAAAAGCUUUAUAGGCGCUUUCUCUUU